AGAGUUUGAUCAUGGCUCAGGACGAACGCUGGCGGCGUGCUUAACACAUGCAAGUCGAACGGUGAAGCCCUUCGGGGUGGAUCAGUGGCGAACGGGUGAGUAACACGUGGGCAAUCUGCCUGCACUCUGGGACAAGCCCUGGAAACGGGGUCUAAUACCGGAUACGACCAUCUUGGGCAUCCUUGAUGGUGGAAAGCUCC
rnacentral:rRNA from 1 species